rnacentral:rRNA from 1 species
GGGUCAGUAGGUUGGUCGUGCCACCGGUACGUACUGGUCUCACUGAUUCCUCCUUCCUGAAGAACCGUAAUGCCAUUAAUAUGGUGUUGCGGGGAAACAGGACUGUUACUUUGAAAAAAUUAGAGUGUUUAAAGCAAGCUAACGCUUGAAUACAUUAGCACGGAAUAAUGAAAUAGGACGAUCGAUCCUAUUUUGUUGGUUUCUAGGAUUGACGUA